GCCGAAGUGGCGGAAUAGGCAGACGCGCACGACUCAAAAUCGUGUUCCGAAAGGAAUGAGGGUUCGAUUCCCUCCUUCGGCACCU
rnacentral:tRNA from 1 species